GACGAACGCUGGCGGCGUGCUUAACACAUGCAAGUCGAACGGAAAGGCCCUGCUUUUGUGGGGUGCUCGAGUGGCGAACGGGUGAGUAACACGUGAGUAACCUGCCCUUGACUUUGGGAUAACUUCAGGAAACUGGGGCUAAUACCGGAUAGGAGCUCCUGCUGCAUGGUGGGGGUUGGAAAGUUUCGGCGGUUGGGGAUGUACUCGCGGCUUAUCAGCUUGUUGGGGGGGUAGUGGCUUACCAAGGCUUUGACGGGUAGCCGGCCUGAGAGGGUGACCGGCCACAAUGGGACUGAGAUACGGCCCAGACUCCUACGGGAGGCAGCAGUGGGGAAUAUUGCACAAUGGGCGGAAGCCUGAUGCAGCAACGCCGCGUGCGGGAUGACGUCCUUCGGGUUGUAAACCGCUUUCGCCUGUGACGAAGCGUGAGUGACGGUAAUGGGUAAAGAAGCACCGGCUAACUACGUG
rnacentral:rRNA from 1 species